AUUGAACGCUGGCGGCAGGCCUAACACAUGCAAGUCGAACGGGUGGGGGACGGGUGGGUACUGUCUGUGAACCUGCCUGGUGGAGAGGUAUGACUACUCGAAACGAUAGCUCAAUCCGCAUCCAACGAGAUUUGCCCGGAUGGGAUUAGCUUGUUGGUGGGGUAACGGCUCACAAAGGCGACGAUCCCUAGCUGGUCUGAGAGGAGGACCAGCCACACUGGAACUGAGACACGGUCCAGACUCCUACGGGAGGCAGCAGUGGGGAAUAUGGGACAAUGGGGGAAACCCUGAUGCAGCCAUGCCGCGUGUGUGAUGAAGGCCUUCGGGUUGUAAAGUACUUUCAGCGGGGAAGCGUUACCUGCAGAAGAAGCACCGGCUAACUCCGUGCCAACAGCCGCGGUAAUUC
rnacentral:rRNA from 1 species